AGACAAAGCCAGCCUUGACAGAAUGACUGGCGAUCACUUCAAACCUGCCGCCUUUGCAGGGAAAUAUAUUCUGCCGAUUGAAAAAGGAACGGUACCACCCCUUUAAGGCACACGUCAAGAAAACUGAAUGCAAAAUAUUUGUGGAGAGAGAGAGAGAGCAGGCGGCAUUAGAGGCUUCCACAUGGGAGAACAUGGAUCAAUUCAAUGGCAAAAAUGCGGAGACUCUCAUUGAAAUGUCCCCCGCGGGGGAUGAAACAGGAGAUAUUGCUGUUAUCACUGGUAUCGCAGGUGAAUCGCCAGGGGAAGAUAACGGACCUUACUAUGAUCCUUCCAACAGUAGCCGAGAAGGAGAAAUCCCUGGCAAUUCAGAGGUGCUAAGCACAACAACAGAGACUGCAUCUCUCAUCCAUGGUCCGACAAAGGUGAUGCAGAGAAAACAUUUGCUCUUCGUGAAUAGACGUUUCAGGAUUGACAAGCAGAUCCACAGCAAAGACUCUGUUUUCUUCUGCGAUGGAGUCAGAAGAAUUGACUUCAUCCUUUCCUAUGUGGAUGAUCCUAAAGAUGCCGAAAAGAAAAUGGAGAGAAGAAAAGAGUUUGAGAUGAAUCUUAUGAAGACAGGCCUUGAACUGGAAACUGAAAAUAAGGAUGAUUCAGAAGACGGGAAAACGUACUUCACGAAGAUUCAUGCUCCUUGGGAUGUUUUGGCCACCUAUGCAGAGGUUAUGCACAUUAAAGUGCCUAUUAAAGAAAACGAUAUUCCCCAAGCGAGAGAGAACCCAUUUGACUGGUUGUUGAAACCAUUUCGACUGAAUCCAGCAAUAAUAAACCCUGAACCAGAUUACUUCACGGCACCUUUCAGUAAACAGCGGCAGGAGCUUUUCCUCAUUAAUGACCAAGAGACUUUCUUCUCGCCCUCGACUCGCAACCGGAUUGUGUAUUACAUUCUCUCUCGAUGCAAGUAUGCGACAGAAGAUGGGAAGAGGAAAUUUGGGAUUAAGAGAUUACUCAACAAUGGCACAUACACGGCUGCUUUCCCACUUCAUGACUGCAGGUACUGGAAGAAAUCUCAUGAUCCCAAGAGUGAGAAUGAACGAUACACGUUAUAUAAAGAGUGGGCACGCUUUGGUCGAUUCUAUAAGGAGCAGCCCCUGCACCUCAUCAGGAAAUACUAUGGAGAGAAGAUUGGAAUAUAUUUUGCCUGGCUUGGUUUUUACACAGAAAUGCUGGGGAUUGCAGGUGCCGUUGGUUUCAUUUGCUUUCUGUAUGGCUGCAUAACUAAGGAUGGAAACAUAUGGAGUGAAGAAAUUUGUGAUGCUGAACUUGGAGGGAAGAUUAUCAUGUGUCCCUUGUGUUAUGAUUGCGACUUCUGGAGACUGAAUACUACCUGUGAAUCGACCAAGAAUUCUCACCUGUUUGACAACGCUGCCACCUUGUUUUUUGCAGUUUUUAUGGGCAUCUGGGUUACUCUCUUUCUGGAGCUGUGGAAGCGGCGACAGGCGAAACUGGAAUAUGAGUGGGACCUUGUGGACUUUGAAGAGGAGCAGCAACAACUUCAGAUACGCCCAGAGUAUGAGGCAAAGUGCAAGCACUACAAGAAAAACCCAGUUACGCAGGAACCGGAGCCUUACAUCCCGAUAUCAGACCAGGCGUUACGCUCUUGUGUGUCUGGAGCUACGGUUUUGUUUUGGAUUUUUUUAAUCCUGAUCUGUAUCAUUGCGGUUAUCGUGUACCGCCUCUCGAUGUAUGCCACCUUUGCCAAGAUCACGGUGAACAUGGAGAAGGUCAGGUACAUUGGCACUUUCUUCACACCUCAGAUGGCAACCUCGGUCACAGCGUCCGUCCUGAACUUUAUCAUCAUCAUGAUUCUAAACUAUUUCUACGAGAGGGUGGCAAUCUGGAUCACAGAUCUUGAGAUCCCCAGGACUCACUUGGAGUAUGAGAACCGGUUGACCAUGAAAAUGUUCCUCUUCCAGUUCGUUAACUACUAUUCCUCCUGCUUCUAUGUUGCCUUCUUCAAAGGGAAGUUCAUUGGUCACCCUGGGGACUAUAACCGUCUGUUUGGGAUAUGGCGAAAUGAAGAGUGUGACCCAGGUGGCUGUCUCAUUGAGCUGACAACACAGCUUACCAUUAUUAUGGCCGGUAAGCAAAUCUGGGGCAAUAUCCAGGAAUCGUUUUUGCCCUGGGUGAAAAACUGGUGGGUGAGUCGGAAUGCCAGGCACCAUCCAGAGAGACUGUACUCUCGUUGGGAGCAGGACCACGAUUUACAGGAUAUGGGGCAACUUGGCCUUUUCUAUGAAUAUCUAGAAAUGGUUAUCCAGUUUGGGUUUGUCACUCUCUUUGUGGCCUCAUUUCCUCUGGCACCAGUUCUUGCUCUGCUCAACAACAUUAUCGAAAUCCGUGUGGAUGCCUGGAAGUUCAUCACACAGUUCAAGAGACCCAUGGCAGCAAAGGCUCACAGUAUAGGAAUAUGGCACCAGAUUCUGAACGGUGUGGCCGUUUUCUCUGUGGUUACAAAUGCUUUCAUUGUGGCUUUUACCUCAGAUAUGAUUCCCCGUUUAGUUUACAUGUAUGCUUAUUCUGAAAAUCCUCGACUACCCAUGCAAGGCUACAUCAACAACAGUCUGUCAAUCGCCAGCGUUUCAAAGAUACACCCCAACUUGGAAAGAAAUUCAGAAAUCCUCACUUGCCGGUAUAAGGAUUAUCGUUACCCUGCAGGACAUCCAUCAGAGUAUAAGCACAACAUGCAGUUCUGGCAUAUCUUGGCUGCAAAAAUGGCAUUCAUUAUCAUCUUAGAGCAUGUUGUUUUCCUGGUCAAGUUUGCAAUCGCUGCACUGAUUCCGGAUGUCCCGAGUGAGGUGAAAGCUCGGAUAAAACGGGAGAAGUAUUUAACGCAGAAGAUUUUGCACGAGUAUGAGCUCAAUAAACUGAGAGAGACACUUGCUGGCUCAGGGAAUUGUGCUGGAAACAAGGAAGUCUCCGUGCAGGCAGAAAAGGUGGAACUGCUGAGCGAGCAGUUAUAGUCCAGCUUUAAAACGCAGCGAGAAAGGACUCAUGUGUCUGCCAUGGUAAAGCAAAUUGAUUUGUUUAUUUGGCGAGGAACGGCCUGCUAUGACGACAGUUCCAGCAGUGGCGAAGUUGCUGCAACUAAUUACGAUGCUGCUGUCAAGUUGUUGAGCUAAUGCUUUUGGUGCAGCAACAGUUGAGAGUGGUUUUCUAACCUGGCAAUUAACAGUUCCUGUUGUCUCCCUGGCUGUGCCAUUCCUUUGACGUAUGAACACUUCUAUUGUUGUCAAGGAAACACUGACUGUUAAACCGUCCAAAACAUUACUGACCUGUUGAAAAGCUCACAUAUAGGAUAAUGAAGAAUGUCAAGAUAUCAGUUAUAAAUCUAUGUUAAACCUUAUCUGAUCUAGAAUGAGAACCAAUGCAAUCUUGUGAUCAGGUGCAAUGUUUUUUGGUUUGACUCCUUUGGUUGUUGACUCCAUCAUAUUUGCUUUAUCUUCUCUCGGCCGCUCCUUUUCUGUCUCUUGUCUCUUUUUAUUCCUUCGCCGCCUUUUCUCUUCCAUCUACCUUCAUCAGACCGACAGUACUGUCUGUAACAUAAUGAAACAAAACUUACACAAAAUAACUUACAAAGUAAAGUCAUGUUCUAUGAAAUCUAAAGUGGAAACUACUGUGAGACACCAAUGCACAUAGUGUAACUACUGAAAUCUCAAUGACCCAUUCACACAGGAAAUGUCUGGGCAGAUUGCUAUAAGAAAAGACUUCUUUGUGUCAAAGAUAUGGUUGUUCAAAAUUCUUAACUUUAUGCACAUGCUGAAUAAAAAAGCCAUCAGUUUAUUGUAAUACCGCCACAGCUAAAUGCUACACACCUCUUUAUUGCUACAAUGUUGGAUCGUGCUCUAGUUUCAAUGACAAGUCAAGAAAUAUGCAAUUAGUUUAGAAUCAAAAUUUACACUCGGAGGUUGCAUUAAAACCUUCUUUGAAAGAUGUUUUAAAGAGGUGGCUGUUUGGAGUGCAGAAUAGGUGUGGAGUGAGUGUGUUCUAAUCACAGAUGUCCCAACCUGUGCCAGCAGACAAAUGGACGUUCAAAAAGCCGAUCCUGCAGCAAUAACAUGCUAUGAUGACAUAAAGAGACAUCAAAGAAGGAUAUUCUUAAACAGCCUAGACACGUUGGCCACCUGCCAAUGCCCAGUGUGUCUUGAAAGUGGAGCUAGAUUGAAGCUGUGAAAUACCAGUGUAGCGGGCAGUUAACUGGCUUCAAUCGGCCAAAGAGCAGGCAUCCUAGAGGGCAACGUAUUCCCUCCUUUGUAUUAUGGGAUCGGGAUGGGUGGGAAGGAGGUGGGAUGGGCACUCGGCAUAUUUUGUAUGCACGCCCCCCCCCCCUACCAAAAACAUGCCUGACAUAAAAUCUACCCCAUGGUGUCUGGAGGUAAGGUCCCUCCAGCGAGCUUCUGAGACUGGGCUGACAUGGUGCCAUUCCCCGUUCCCCAAGAACUUUUCCUUCCUGAAAGCCCAGAGAUGGACCGAAAGGUCAGCAGGGUUGGGGGGAGACCCCCACCCUCCCAUGUGGUAUCACGGAGGCAGCUCACAGAGAUCGUACGUUACCCAAACGUAGGCUCACCAAGGUGCGAAUGAAAACGACCUUUUCUCUGAAAAACAAAAUAAAUUCACAAACAUAAGCAUGGGGAGCCUGAUCCACCAUUUAAUAAAAUCAUAUCUGAUCUAAUCGUAAGCCCCAAUACUCUUCCCUCACUCCCCCCAACACACUUGCUUAUCAAAAAAACUAUUCACGGCUGCCUUAAAAAUAUAUUAAAACUCUGUUUCCAGAGAGUUCCAAAGACUCUUGACCCACUUUGAGAAAAAAAAACCUUUUGUCUCAUCUCUGUUUUAAUUGGACUAUGGCUUCUUGAAGACAUUGAUCUUUAGUUCUAAAUUCUCCCAUGAGAUUCUAAAUUCUAUCAACAUUUAUCCUCAGGAUCUUAUAGGUUUCAAUCGAAUUUCUUAUUCUGAACCCCAGCCAACACAGGCCUAGCUUGCCCAAUCUUACCUCAUGCGACAACCCAUCCAAUUCAGCUUUUAAAGCUGAUAAACAAAAACAGAAAUUGCUGCAAAGACUCAACAGGUCUGGCAACAUCUGGGGAGAGAAAAAGCGAUGCUUCAGGUUCACUGACCCUUAUUCAAAAAGUUCUGAAGGGUCACUGGACCCGAAACAUUAACGUUGCUUUCUCUCCCGAGAUGCUGCCAGACCUGCUGAGUUUUCCCAGCAAUUUCUGUUUUUGUUUCUGAUUUCCAGCAUCUGCAGUUUUUGUUUGAUUAGGCUGAUUAACCCUUCUCUGAGUUAUUUCUGAUGUAUUCUGGUAUGACUGUUAUUUUGUAAAUAGGAAGAGUGCAUUGAGUAGUAACUAGUCCAAUAGACCAGGGGAAGGUUUUCUUUGUUGCGACCUGUGAAUGGGCCAUAUGUAAAAUAGAGGAUCAGAUUGUGAUUAUUCCCAGGUCAGUACGGUCUUAAUGAAAGGAAAAUAGUUGUUGGCAAAGCGUAUUUUUCACACACUAAAUCCAUGCUUUAAGUUAUCUGGCACAAUGUGUUCACUUUAACAUUGUUUUAUUUUUAAGGCCUGCAUUUCUUCUGAUUUACAUUCACAAUCCUGGUAUCACAUAGUUGUCCCCUAAUCUCCAGCCUAACCUGAUGCAGUUACAUCCCCAUGCUUGCUUCCCCCUGGCUUUACUUCCUUCGCCUUUGUGGUGGGUCUUGUCCCCUGUUUGCCCCCAAACCACUUUUCAUCCCUCUCCUGGCUUGCCAUCUCUGUUCCCCAUCGCCCCCUUCACCCCCUCAUAAUCUUGCCUUUGUCUGCCUCUUGGGCCACUCAGUUCACCAUUCCCCCACACCGCCUGUAGGUUCCAAACUUGUCCUGAUGGGCUCCAUUUACUGGUGGAAGUUGGUGGGCUCUCUGCACUGACUAUCCUCCACGAUUGGAUGGCACCUUGUCAAUCUAAGGUACUGUAUUUUAAGAAUAUUUUGAACAAUACUGUAUUGUACUGUACAGAUCUUGAUUUUCUUUAUAUUCUGUGUUCUAUUUUAGUUUGCAAGUUAUUUCAGCUGUGAAUGUACAGUGCUGUGCAUGUAUGGUACAAUAUUUCAACAUGUUUUUUGUUUUGGGCUAAAAAGAAAUUGCCCAAAGGAACCUAACUCAGACUUUAACAUUGGCUCCCAUAGGAAUCAAUGAUUCACUUAAGGUUGUUUCACUUAAAGUUAUGAGUUUAAGGGACGUAAUCAGAGUUUUAAGUGAGGACUUGCUGUACAAACUUCUAGGAGGUGUGCUUCCACAUUAAUCCAGUCAGAGUUCUAGUUUCCUCAGAGACUUGCACAAAGUCGAAGUAGAAAUGUGUUCAUCUAGUCCCCAGUUUCAAUCACUUUUUUUUCCAAAGACCAUAAUCUUUAAAAACUGACUUCAGGUCAUAGGCAAUUGCCAAGCACAGAAUUCUUUUUAAAUAUAUAAUGCAGUUUUAAUUUUAAGUCUUUUUGAUUGCAGUAAAGCCAGUACCAGUGGAAAAUGUCUAUUAGAGGACACCGUACAAGCCACACUUAAGUAAAAAACAGUCGUUGCUGAAAACUCGGGCUGUGCAGUUUUGAUGAGAGGAGUGAGGAGAUGGACUGACCAAUGUCAGUGGCACAGAUGUGGCUAUCCACCACUAUGUUGGUGUCAUGUUUGACUGAGUCUCCUGCUGUAGAUCAUUAGGAGGAUCUUUAUCAAGACAUUGCACCCUAGUAAAGGCAAGAAUGUGAAGUGCACUGGCUGUAACCUGGGCACCAUUGCCUCCUCGAAGUUGCUGGUUAAAUUUAACAUUCAUUCCCAUUUUGCGGGGGCGGUGAGUGGUGACCCUCGUUCAUGGACUCAGGGCUAGCACUGAGCUUUUCACCCAACCAGCUGAUCUGCCAUGGGGGGUUUUUGACCGUGAGCAUCUGUAAGAAAAUUGGUAGGAACUGAGAGCUAAGGACAUGUUUUCCGCUGUUGGCAAAGUUGGCAUAGUGGACACAUCUAACCGUAACCCAUCUUGUGGCAAACCAGGGAGCAGAGAAGUGAACCAGUGACUGGUAUCCCCAAGUAAGGUUGUUUCCACUUUUCUCCAUAUUCACAGGAACUGGGAGUGGGGAGUGAAGUUGU